GGAGUUAGCCGGUGCUUCUUCUGUGAGUGAUGUCCUUCCUGCCGGCUAUUAACCCGCAGGCCUUCUUCCUCACUGAAAGUGCUUUACAACCCGAAGGCCUUCUUCACACACGCGGCAUGGCUGGAUCAGGGUUGCCCCCAUUGUCCAAUAUUCCCCACUGCUGCCUCCCGUAGGAGUCUGGGCCGUGUCUCAGUCCCAGUGUGGCUGAUCAUCCUCUCAGACCAGCUACGGAUCGUCGCCUUGGUGAGCCGUUACCUCACCAACCAGCUAAUCCGACAUAGGCUCAUCCGAUAGCGCGAGGCCCGAAGGUCCCCCGCUUUCCCCCGUAGGGCCGUAUGCGGUAUUAGCCUGGGUUUCCCCCAGGUUAUCCCCCACUACCGGGCAGAUUCCUAUGCAUUACUCACCCGUCCGCCGCUCGCCACCAGGGAGCAAGCUCCCCGUGCUGCCGCUCGACUUGCAUGUGUUAGGCCUGCCGCCAGCGUUCAAUCUGAGCCAUAAUCAAACUCU
rnacentral:rRNA from 1 species